AACUGAGCACUUUUAUCCAUAAACAAAGUGAUCAUGGAAGUUAAAAAUCCUGUGGCAUCUACAAAACACUGCACCUAGCAGGACCAGUGCCACGGUCCUGCAUACACAGAUGGCAAUUGUGUAUCCUGACAGCCAACAGAGAAGGGCAGAGAUGGAGCACUUAAAACAGCAUCAAAACCAACUACUGUGGAAUAAAUUUAACAAAAGGUGUGUUAGUAGUGAUCCACAGAAAACUAGAAGCCCCCGUGAACCCCAAGCUCGUGAACCAGGGCUCACCUGUGACCCAACCUUCUCUCCAGGCUGAUCUUUCCUCUUGGCACAAUCUCAGAGUCCCAGCAGCGCUUUUUGGAAAUUGACAGUGAUUCUGAAGUUUACAUGGAAACACAAAGGGCCUGGAAUGGCCAAGAUUGCCUUGAGGAAGAACAACAAAGGUCGGGGACACGCCUGGAUUUGGAGACUUACUCUAAAGCCGGGGUGUUUCGGACAGUGUCCUGUUGGUGAAAGACAGACGAAUAGAUGACAGGACACACAGUUGAGAACCGAGCCACAUGCGCUCGCCAGAUGUGCCAUUUCGAGAGGGAAAGGCGAGUCUCGGCAACAAGGAUGCCAGGACAGCUGGGCAGUGAGUGGCCAGGGACCCGCAUCAUAGCUUGGACAGAGCUGAUUUGAGGUGGGCCACAGAUAGACUUUGAAAGAAAAAUGUUUACAGCUGCCUUAAACAUUAAGAAGACUGGAAAGCAAAGUUAUUCUUGCAAGAUGGUGUGUCGUUUAGCAGAGGCAUUUCAGGGCGCCUGGAGGAGCCCGGACAGAAGGGCCCGGCGUCUGCCCAGGUGGGGCCCACGUGCCUCUCCUCGCCUCAGACUCACCUGUGCGCCCGCGCCCACCAGGAGCAGGACGCC